rnacentral:rRNA from 2 species
ACUUAAAUUGAAGAGUUUGAUCAUGGCUCAGAUUGAACGCUGGCGGCAGGCCUAACACAUGCAAGUCGAGCGGUAGCACAGAGAGCUUGCUCUCGGGUGACGAGCGGCGGACGGGUGAGUAAUGUCUGGGAAACUGCCUGAUGGAGGGGGAUAACUACUGGAAACGGUAGCUAAU